AUAUAUAUAUAUAUAUAUAUAUAUAUAGAUAUAUAUACAUAUAUACAUAUACAUAUAUAUAUAUAUAUGUAUAAAGAAAAAAGUAAAAAAAAAUUAUAUUAAAAAUUAAAUAGAUACGUACGUAAUAAGUACAUCUUGUAUGUAUGAAACAUCUCCUGCGUAUGUUUCUUUAGAUACAUAUCGAUCGUACAUAAAUACGAAAAAUCGUUGUUAUUAACUGUUCGUACAAGAAAGAAAGAAAAAAAAAGAAGGAAUACAAAAUAAAACGAAGGUUACUUUGGAUUGUGUUUAAACCUAUGUUUAUGAUACGCAAUAAGAAUAAGAAACGUGAUAACGUUCAGUCGUAUCCGAUCUUCGGUGUGUAUUGGAUCGAUCUAGAGUAUUCGCAUAGAAAUAUCUAAGCAAAGGAUAUGUAAAGUUAAAACAGAGAGAGAGAGAGAGACAGACUAGUUCGAGAUAUGUGUCAGGAAUCAGGAUGCGUAUCCAGAGCACGCGCAGAACAUAGGAAGAACACGCCCAGCAUCUAUACUUACUCUCGUUGCUCGGUCAGUGUCAGAUACAAAUGUUUCGACAUUGUAAAAGAAUAUUUCUAGACGAACGAACGAAGGAGCGAGGGAACGAAGAAAAAACGAAGAAACGGACUAAGGGAACGAACGAUAGGGAAGAAAAAAAAAAAGAAAAGAAAAUUUCUAUUUUGAUGCUUUUACUUUUCAUUUUUCCGAGAAACGGUAAUUUAAUUUUCGACGUGGCACCGUACUUAAUUACCCCCGAAGGAUUUCGAGUAAUCGAAUAUGAGGAGGUCUUUCUAUGUGAAAUCAAUAAGGCAAUUGGGUCAAAGCGGAAGGAUUUCAAUGACCCUGACAUACUUUUUAAAAACGUAUCGAUGUAAAAAAAGGGCAAAAAAAAAGAAAGAAAGAAAGAAAAAUUAUCAUUCCUCAUAAUACAUAUAUAUUCCUCGGAUAUAAAAAGAAUGAUCAAGAGGAAUAUAUUAUAUUAUAUAUGUCAACGUUCUAA